rnacentral:rRNA from 1 species
CACGUAGGGCGCGAGCGUUGUCCGGAAUUAUUGGGCGUAAAGAGCUCGUAGGCGGCCUGUUGCGUCCGCUGUGAAAGCCCGGGGCUUAACCCCGGGUCGGCAGUGGAUACGGGCAGGCUAGAGGUAGGUAGGGGAGAAUGGAAUUCCCGGUGUAGCGGUGAAAUGCGUAGAUAUCAGGAGGAACACCUGUGGUGUAGACAGCUUACUGGACCACUUCUGACGCUGAGACACGAAAGCGUGGGUAGCAAACAGG